CCUACGGGGGGCAGCAGUGGGGAAUAUUGGGCAAUGGACGCAAGUCUGACCCAGCAACGCCGCGUGAAGGAAGAAGGCUUUCGGGUUGUAAACUUCUAUUAAGGGGGAAGAGCAGAAGACGGUACCCCUUGAAUAAGCCACGGCUAAAUACGUGCCAGAAGCCGCGGUAAUACGUAGGUGGCAAGCGUUGUCCGGAUUUACUGGGGGUAAAGGGCGUGCAGACGGGAAGACAAGUCAGAUGUGAAAUGCCGCGGCCCAACCGCGGAACUGCAUUUGAAACUGUUUUACUUGAGUAGCGGAGAGGUAAGCGGAAUUCCUAGUGUAGCGGUGAAAUGCGUAGAUAUUAGGAGGAACACCAGUGGCGAAGGCGGAUUACUGGACUGUAACUGACGGUGAGGCGCGAAAGCGUGGGGAGCAAACAGGAUUAGAUACCCGUGUAGUC
rnacentral:rRNA from 1 species